rnacentral:rRNA from 1 species
UACGAAGGGUGCAAGCGUUACUCGGAAUUACUGGGCGUAAAGCGUGCGUAGGUGGUUUGUUAAGUCUGCUGUGAAAGCCCCGGGCUCAACCUGGGAAUGGCAGUGGAUACUGGCAAGCUAGAGUGCGGUAGAGGGUAGUGGAAUUCCCGGUGUAGCGGUGAAAUGCGUAGAGAUCGGGAGGAACACCAGUGGCGAAGGCGGCUACCUGGACCAGCACUGACACUAAGGCACGAAAGCGUGGGGAGCAAACAGG